rnacentral:ncRNA from 1 species
NNNNNNNNNNNNNNNNNNNNNUUGAUAUUGGUGUUCGGUUCGGCUUGUGUAGGAUAGGUGGGAGACUGUGAUACGGGCACGCCAGUGUUCGUGGAGUCGCUGUUGAAAUACCACUCUGGUCGUGCUGGAUGUCUAACCUGGGUCCGUGAUCCGGAUCAGGGACAGUGUCUGAUGGGUAGUUUAACUGGGGCGGUUGCCUCCUAAAGAGUAACGGAGGCGCCCAAAGGUUCCCUCAGCCUGGUUGGCAAUCAGGUGUUGAGUGUAAGUGCACAAGGGAGCUUGACUGUGAGACCGACGGGUCGAGCAGGGACGAAAGUCGGGACUAGUGAUCCGGCGGUGGCUUGUGGAAGCGCCGUCGCUCAACGGAUAAAAGGUACCCCGGGGAUAACAGGCUGAUCUUCCCCAAGAGUCCAUAUCGACGGGAUGGUUUGGCACCUCGAUGUCGGCUCGUCGCAUCCUGGGGCUGGAGUCGGUCCCAAGGGUUGGGCUGUUCGCCCAUUAAAGCGGUACGCGAGCUGGGUUUAGAACGUCGUGAGACAGUUCGGUC